AAUAGCUAAGAAUAUUUGCCCACCCUUUAGAAAUUGAAACUGGUGAAUAUUCAAAACCAUGCAUUCCAAAAGAUUGUUGUUUUGGUCAGUUUUGUAAAACUACUGAAGAUGAGUUAAAUUUUUUAUCUCGCUGCUUUAUGAUGUUAGUAACAGGCUACUUGUCGGGGUGCACUUGGGCUGUUUACAUACAUGUGUUUUGAGGGUAGUAUUGUGCAGGUGGGGAAAAAUGCCAUGAUAUUGUUUUCCGCUGUCGGUAGUUUGGCAUCAAUUUUAAUUACCCCCCCCCCCUCCUUAUUAGAUACAUCGAGAAUAAUUACCGGUGUGAUACCUUGGAAGCUGGUGUAUGCAUAAAGUUAGACCUACUGGAAAUUGCUGAUAUACGCAUGUAGAAAUGAAAAUUUUCUAUCAGCCAUAUAGCCGUAUUCACUAUCCCGAAUUUGUAGAUCGUCAAUCAAAAGGAAAACACAGAUUUCUAGCACUCGGAAGAAAGCGAAAAACAUAAACAAUCCUUAACAUUACUGUCCAUGUAUAUUUAGAUAACUUUUAAAAAAUAUCUAUAAAGCUUUACACUACAGUCAGAUUCCGGUAAUAUUUACAAGACUGUGACGUCACACUCGCGUAAGCCGUCUGACGCGUCUGACGUAUGCAAGACAGCGAAUGUGAAAGUACAUAGAAACUCUACAGGUAAGAUGAGAUUGAGCAUUGUAAUUAUAAAUGUUCAGUGUAAAUUCAAGCCAUUAGGCUUAUUACAUUUAUGUGAUCUAAAGUUCCUAAUGCAACCGCUUAUUUCAGACUGAUGAGAAUUACUUUAGACGGGGUACGUCAACGAAUAGGCACGGCAGCGAAAAUACGGAAGUCACUUCGGGGACGUGUCGCAGAAUCGCAUAACUCUACACGAGAUUAAAAGAAAGAAAAAAAGACAAUGAAGACAACCAUGUAAAAACAAAUUCAAUCAAUUAAAUUAUCAGCAGAUUGAAA